GGACCAUAGUGGUAGAGCGUUUGUUUGGCAUGCAGAAUGUCUUAGGUUCAAUCCCUGACUGCAACU